CCGUACUGAUGAAAUUGUGCAACCAAAAGGGUAGACACUCUCUUAUCCCCAAGGCUUACAACUGUUUGUACAGGUGCGCAAAGCUUUCCACGUCUUGGGGCUGUCAAGACUACCAGGGCAUUGGCGCGGAAGUGGCAGUGUCCCUCCCCAUGGCACGCGAAAGUGCCACGCCUUUCUCCUUGGAUUUACCAUCCAACUCCCUAACAUUUACACUACUCCAAUACUCAAUCCCUACGAAGCUGCCUUACGAUAGGGCGUUCAGGGCUGUUGCCUUGAACCUUAGGUGCUGUUAAACCAAUGAUACUAAUGUACAAGUUACGCCUUUCGUUACUCAGGCGUGCUGUCGCAACGAUAUGGCGCAUGCAGGGAUGUUCGACCCUGCAACAUGACCUCUGUUGACCUACCUACCUAUAACCUACCCUCACCAGCAUCGCUGGAACUUCAGCGCUGUAAUGUGGAUGCCCGCGUAGGGCCGCACGUUACAUUUGUAUCGUGGCCCCGGUUCUGUCCCCCUGGAUAUGCGUUGAAUUCGGCAUGCGCACGCACGUACUUUGAUUCGCGCGUCGGAAUAACGUUCCGUCUGAUGCGAGAACUGUAACGCGCAUGCUAGAAUAAAGCCCGCGGAGGUCUAUUUUGUCGUUACAAGCGCCCUCUCCAAAGCGAACGGACACCGCGCUCGACGUCACAUGACCGCCGAUCUCACGGAAUGCAGCCAUGCCAGAGCCGACACCGACCUUCUCGCGCCUCCGCUUGAAUCCAUAGCACCUCAGUACAGGGCCACAUCCCAGAAUAAAUACUCAACCCAAAGUUCACAUUCGUGCCCAUACAUAGAAUCUAUGCCAUAAUAUGGGGUAUUCUUAAAAUUAGAUCUCCAGAAUACGUUUUCCACGCCGGCAUCGUACGAAGGAUUUCAGCGAAAAUCCAGGGCAGGCGCCAGGAAUUGGCUAGAAGAUGACUUGAAACUCCGAAGGAUAUCUUAGCACGAUAAUAAAAAAUGGAUGGAAAUUAUAUCAGUGCUAUGUGUUACGCUAUGUGCUCCAUGUACGGUACGUACGGUACUGUACAGCAAAGAGAGCAGGCAAGUAUAGUACCUGCUGCUUGUCCAAACGUUAUUAUCGCCCCCCUCGUCGCACGAUUUGAUGCACACGGCGGCGCACUCGCACGUGCCACGUACCACCCAACAAAAAUCACCUUCACCUCGGCGCCGGGACGGAGUCCCCGGGAGCAAGAACGACCCCAUCCGCCCCUGCCAACCAAGCAGCUGGAAAGCUGCAUGCACACAGUACAACACACGCCUACUCCGCCAUAUGCAAGUGAUGCAGCAGUAGCAGCAAUAGCAGUAGCAGCAGCCUAGUGCAUACUAUAUCUGGAACAGCUGGACCGUUAACAAGCGAGCACGCCUGUCCGUUUUUAAACGUGCGUACAGAAAGAGAGGCGACCCCCUCGCAAUUGACGGCGCCCGCACGUCGGGCGUCAAUUUAAU
rnacentral:lncRNA from 1 species